GGCAGAGGAGGCCCCGAGAGUGAGCGAGGGCUGUGAGGGCUGCCAGCACGCUGUCACCUUUCAUUAGGACCUGCUAAUUGGUUUCACAUGUGUGUGGAACCAUCCCAGGACUGGAUUCCAAUAUGAGGAGAGAAAUGGGUUAUUUCACUGAAAGGUAUGACUGAGUUAGACUGAAGAAACUCUUAUAUGACACUGUACUAUGGCUUUAAUGAGCAUUAGUGUUAGGAUGACAUUUUGUUUAGAGAGAUAUUGAUGGUAAAAAAGAAAAGGAUUUGAACUCCAGUUCACCAUUUCCUAAGCAUGACCUUGAGCUAUUCAUUCACUCUAUGUAGUCAUUUAAUAAAUAUUUAUUGAGCCCUAUAUAGGCCAAGCACUCUGUGAGGUGAUGGAAAUUCUCCUGCCCUCAAAAAGUAACAGUAAUUAUUAUUUGCAAUCUACCUCCCUAAGGCAUAACAAUGCCUAUCUUUCAGAGUUAUGUGUAAUAGGAUUUGUAAGUGGAUUUUUUUUUGUCUCAUAAUUGUCUACUUGGCUCCAAAGUUAGAGACAAAUAGGUGAAAAUUAGGAGACAAAUAGAUGAUUGGUAAACACCAGUCAUUAAGAGGCAAAUUCAUUCUGCUACUCCGCUUACCACUGUACUCACUAAUCUUGAGGGGACUACUGAAUUGUAAAUCUUCAGCCUCAGAAAGGGUUCUGUGUCUUUUCCUUUUACUCUUUCUCAGUGCCCCUUAUGCAUAAUCCAAUGGAGUAUUCCAAGGAAAAUAUUUUUAAUGACUGGGGGUUGCCUGCAAUAAGUUGAGCCUGAAAUCUCAUUUUUCAGUUGGAUACCUACUCAUGUCAUGGAUCUGUAGUAUUCUUUUUGCUUACUCCAGCAGUAGGAAAUAAUAUAGGGACAGAACUCAAGAGAGAGAAAAUGAGCAAUAGGGCAAUGAGGCACACUCCCAUUGUCUGGUAGAAAAAAGAUGCAUGAGUCUUCCAUAUGUCAAGUAGAUACUACAAAGGUACCAGGCUUGAACUAUUGUGAAGCAAGUUCAUCCUAGACUGUGACUUACUAAGAGAAGAGACCCCAGCAGCAAAAGCCUGUAAGGUGAGUUAUGCAGGAAAUAAGGAGACUGGAAGAGGUCUACAGGAGUCGAUUUCCUAUGAAAGGAGGUUGUGCAAUGAAGAGACUGCCUGCUACAUGGAGGACAGAGGUCACAACAACAACUGGUAAGCAAAACAUUUCUGCUGACUUUUGAGAAUUCUCUCUUCUUCCUCAACAUAGAAAGGGCUCAGAAAAUGCAAAAGGGAGGGGAAAGAGUUACGAGUAGCCUCCUCUCACUGCCACUGUGUCCUGGGGAGGAGAUGGACAUUUGAAUUGGACAAGAAACUGAAGUGGAUGGCACUGGAUUGCCUCUUUUCCACUCUUUUCCAGCCUAAAAAGUUCACAAAAUUGGCAUUUGCUGGAGAAGCCAUGAAGUCUUGGGAAAGGGAGAUUCGACAGAGCAUGUUACAGCCACAAUAGGAGAAAAAAACCUUCUCAGGUUUGAACCCUGCUGAGUUCACAGUUUUCAAUAAAUUGCUGACAAAUGCAAGGUGUUCAGACAAGUAGGUAGUGCUCCACAAAUAGUAGAUAUUAUUCUAGUCACCUAGAGAGAAUAAAUGUUCAGAAAAUGUCUACGUAUGUUUUGCUAUCAAAGAGCGAAUAAGAUAUUCAAUUUGUAUUUUUGCUUUAGAUAAAGCAUAAUGCCCUUAUUAUGCCUUCAAGUCUUCAUUUCCCCCACGAAGGGACGUUUUUCUGUGUUAUUUGACCAUAUGCCUUUUGCUACGCUGGGCAUUUGCCUUCUUUGACCUUUUCUGGACAUUCCCACUUUACCCGCCAGGGAUUGAGGAGAUUACAAAGGUCAUCUAAUCAUCUAGUCUCGUUUCCAAUUUGGUUAAGAUAAAAUAUUAUUUAAUUACUAGAAAAAUACUUUGUUAUUAAAAUCAAAGUGUCUUGUGCUGGUUUGCAAACAAAGUAAUUUCUACACGCUUAUAACACAAAGAGGAGACCAGAUGUGGUGAAGUAGAAGAGAGAGGACACUGGCUUUGGAGCCAGGGGACCCAGAGCGGCUCCCAGUAAUGUGAUAUUUUAUGUGUUUUCCAACCCCAUGCAGCAUCCAUUGCCUCACCUGUAAAAUAGGGGUUUUGACAAGGACCACAUCGAGUUAUUGUGAAGAGUAAAUAGAUGAUUAUAGAAAACAUGUCACACAGUGCUAGGCACAUAGAUGAAGCUUAAGGAAUAGCUGUUGUCCCGUUUCCAAGGUUGCAGAGUCAGAAGACACCCCUAAGAAGACAUAAAGUACUGUUGUUCAGAAGGAAGGCAUUGGGAAAGUCAAAAGGACACCAGAAAUAGUGAACUCAACAUUGAUUUGCACAUUUGACCAAGGUUGGUGGUCAUUUACGCAGCAGUAUUGAGAUGAUCCAUAGAAAGUCAUGAUAACACUAUUGGAGCAAAGUCACAAUAUUUGUAUUUUCAUAUGUAUCUCAUGAUGUAUAUAAGUACUCAUUUUAACACCCAUUGUUUAAAAACUGUUCAGAAUUCAGAAAAAUUAAAAAAUCAUUUAAACUAAAUAUUACAUUAUUGACUAUAACUUAAAUUUCAAAAUGUAAACAUUAACCAUCUAUUAUAAUUUGAAUUAGCAGGAUAAAAAGCAAUACAAAAGUAUAUAAAAUAAAGUAAACAUUGCACAAAAUGAAGAAAAUGAAUCCUGAAAAUUGAAAAUGAAUUAAAUUGGAUUUUCUGGCAAAUAUGAUCUUAAGAACAACGUGUAUCAAUGGUGUUAUCUUCGAUGGUGAGCCUCAUUUUGGGGCAUAUUCUUCUAGCCACUGGAAACACUUUCCAUAAUUUAAAAUAGACAGAAAAAUAGUGACGAGACAAAAAGCAACUAAGUCCAAAUAUCUUCCUCUGGAACUUUUAUUUACAAAUGAUUCCAUCUUUUUGUGAGAGUAUAAAGAUGAUCUUUUAGAAAUUUUUAUUUUUAUUGUAUUAAAGACUACGAUGUCUUUAUUGACAGCUGUAGUUUUUGUUAUUAAGGCCCAGAAGUCAGCUUACUGGAUGCCUGGUUCUUAGCUUUUGCUGUGAAAUAGCCUUUUUUGAAACAAAACAAAUCCAUCAGACAGGCAAGAGCUUCUACCACCAAACACUGACUGUUUUAGCUAUCAAUCUUACCCCAUUGGAGGCAGCCUUAUAUUGAGAGUAAGACGGACUCCUUUUUCCUUAUAAUUGUCUUUUAAGGAGGUCCUAUUUCAUUAAAUAUUCAGGGAAAAUUGUUUUUUGUUUGUUUGUUUGUUUGUUUUUUAAAAACCUUCUUUCAGGAAGUAGAACUAGGGUGAAUUUAAUCUGGGAAAAUUUGGGCUACUGUCCCAGUCAUCUUUGCUUUCUAGCUCAGAGGCCUUGAGAGAUCGUAAGGUCUCUCUUUUAAUGCUGGGUUUAACUCUCUGGUAAUUCUCAAAGUAUAAAUAAUUCAUGUCUCAGGUUUUAAAAAUGUUAAAAUAAUGAUAUCACACUAACAAAAUAUUGGCGUUUGGGUACAUAAGAGUCUGUAGUAUGAUCUACUAGAGUUCUAGAAUGUUGAACAUUGAUGGUGCAAUUAUUAAUUAAAAUUAUCUUGCUCAGAAGGUUUUCCUCCAUUAAACUACACUUUUUAGAGUAAGCUCACUUUGGUUUAAGGCACCUGUUCAUAGGAUGUCCUUAAAUAUAUGAAUAUUGCCCUGGGAGUUACCCUUUUAGUCAUUAAUAACUGGGCAUAAAUCACUUAUCUGCCAGGUAAUCAAGAACAGGACCCAGAACAAGUGUUUUUCUUUCUUUCUUUCUUUCUUUUUUUCUUAGGCUGGAGCAGUGGAAAGAGAACUAUGCACAAGGAUGAGGAGAAUAAUUGUGAUUGUGGGACAGGGCCCCAGGAGAGAGGUAUAGCAGACUGGCCUUGGAAAGCCUGCAGCUGCAUCAGGAAGGCAAAGCAUGCUUGGAAAAAAUGCUGACUGAAACAGCUGCUGGGUUAGUAACUAACUCCAACUUAGUUACUGGAGCUGCUGCUGUUUCUGCUGUGAUGAGAGGGAAAGCCUUCUGUAUCCCUGCACACUUUAAGCAGGUAAAUGUUAGAUUGCUGCAUCAGCUCCUGGACUCUGCAUAACUUCUGAUGUCCUUCUGGUAAACCUUGAUCCCUUAUUGCAUCAUGUGACCUCCUCUCCCCCAGCUCUAGCUCUGCCUAGCCGGUAAGUAAAAGGUUAUUUUCAAGAAGCUGCAGUUAGAUAAGUAAAUAACAACUUGUACCUAAUUUCAUAUUUUAUCUGAAGGUGUGCGGAAGGUAAUACACCCAGAAACAUUAAAUAACUGGUUUACAUCUAAACGGUUUUUGACUAAAACCUUAAAGCUAGACCUAUCAAAGGGCUCAACAGAAUAAAAAGUGUUUCCCUUUGAAGAAUUCUGUGUCCUUAGAAGGCAUUUAGGUUAUGGUAGAAAUGGGUUUUCUUUCAAUAACUUUAAGAGGAAAAAUUACUUAAGACUGGUAACUUAAGACUGACACUAUGUGAAAGAAGCAAAGGUGACAUUUGAAGUAAUCAAUUAUCAGAGGCUUUUUAAUAACAUUCCAGUGACCAGUCUUGAUGUCUUGAUAUUUCUCACCAAAAGCAAGGAUAGUUAUUUGCGGAAAUCUCAACCCAAAGUAAACUUAUAUUGGCUAUGCUGAAAUAAUUUAAAAGAUAUGAACUGUUUUCUACAUCCGUACUAUUUUAAGUGUCAUCAGCAACAUUCAUAUUACCCAGGAAACUGUUAGAAAUUCAGUCUUAGGCCCCACCCUAGACUUACUGAAUCAAUAUCUGCAUUUUGACAUUGCCAGGUCAUUUUUAAGCACAUUAGAGUUUCUAAUGUCCUGUUCUAGAUGCUGUAAAAUUAUUCAUAAGGUCACUUGUUGAAAUGAUUGCAUUCAGCACUUAAAUAUGUUAUGGACAAUGUCCAUUAAGGAUCAGCAAAUACUUAUUUGUGUCCAUAUUAGUGAUAUUAUUAUAUGAGUUUUUAAUUUAUGUUAUAUGGGUUAUUAAUUUAGUCAAUGUUUCUUGUUCUAAUAAAGGGCUCUGAUUUUAAACCAUUUUAUCCAAUGGUUUUCUUGAGCUUCCUAAAGUGGUAAACAGUCUCUGUUUUCUUCUUAUAUGUUCUUGUAGCUAAUUGUUUUAAUCAUCUUUUUGUUGUUACUUCAGCCUCAGUGAUGGGUUACUAUUUAAGGAUUCUCUAAAAGCCUUCUAAUAUACCCUCAAUGUGGUUCUGGCAGACUCUGUCUACCUGACAGCCAUUUCCACAUUCUCCUUUGUUUACAGAGCCACAGUUUGGUUGUGUUGUAGUGUUUUUAUUCCUAGUCUAAGAAAAUCAUGAUGAUCUUAUGUUCCUUUGCCAUAUACUUAAUUUUUCAUUUUUGUUUAUAGCUGAGGGUGAUCACAUGACUGAGAUCUGACCAAAAUGGGGUUUAAGUAGAGGCUUAUGAGAAAGUCUUUGUUCCAUAAUAAAACAGACAGGGAUGAAAAAGAUAGCUUAUUGGCUCCUGUGAUCCUUUCUUUCAGCCUACACACAGACAGGAUGCUUGGUGCUAUGACAGCCAUCUUGAAGCCAUGAAAUCAUAAAAACAAGGACAAAAAGUCAACUUACUGAGAAUGGUAGAGAGGAAGAAUAGAAAGACCCAAUUCCUAGUGACAGCAUUAAGUCACUACUUAUGUCCUGAACUCUGUAUCCAGAGUUCAGAUUUUGUAAAAACAAAGCAAAAAAGAAAACAGAAACAACCCUAUCUAUUUAUGUUAUUAUUAAUUUACUUUGUUAUUUGCUGCUGAAAGCGUUCCUAACUGGUAUAAAUAAGAAGGACUAAAGAACUUACCCUCGUCAGAGAUUUACUCUGUAAGUGAGCAUGGUUGUUGAAUAUGUGACCAGUCUAAGUAGUGAGGCAACACAGAGUGGAAGAAUAUCUGGAUUUUGUUAUUGGCUCCUGUACUUCUCAGCUGUGUACAAAGCAAACCUUGCUUUACAGGAACUUUGGCUCUCUAUUUACAAGGUCAGUGUCAACUCCUAGUGCCUUUUUUUAAUUUUUCUGGCAAAAGGGAAAUGGGCUAAGUUCUAGGAAUUUUCCUUUAUGUGAGUAUAUGAGGUUUUCUAAAACUUUCUAGGGAGUCAAAUGUUUUCCUUGCUAUUGGUUGCUUCUGAUAAAUUAGGUUUAAUCACAGUAUAUUCCUAGUAGUAGGUUUUUGAUUUUUGAAAUGGUGAUUUUUCUUUCUCUUUUGGGGAUGAAAAAGAAAAAUGAAAGCUUAAUGAUAUUUUCUUUCAAAGCAACCGUCUUCUUUUUCAAGAUAAACAAAAUAUUAUGCUAAAUUGAAACCAAUUUUAUGAAAUUAUAUUUUAAAAAAGGAUUUCAAAAAGCCAUAUCUAAGUCUUUUGAGGAAAAUGGAAACAUUAUAAGAAAAAUAACAAAGCAGCAUUUGUAGUAUUUUAGGUCUAGUAGACUUAGGUAAAAUUUAAUGCACGCUUUUCAACCUGGUUGGCUUUAAUAGUCCACAGAUAUCCUGGCUGAAUCCACCAAGGUUUUUAACAAUUUGAAUUUGCUACCAAUAGUUCCUUUUUUCUCAUCUCACCUUACACUGUCUCCAUGUCCUGAUGUGCUUCAACUCAGAAGCACUGGAACUCUCUUGAUACCAAAGUUGUGUUAUGGUGUGUGAUAAGGUUGAUGAUGGUGGGUGUUAUGGGUUGAAUUGCAUCCCCCAAAAAAGAUAUUGAAGUCCUACCCUCCAGGACCUGUGAUUGUCACCUUAUUUGGAAAUAAGUUCUUUAUAGAUGAUCAAGUUAAGAUGAGGUCAUUGGGGUGGGCCUUAAUCUAAUAUGACUGGGUUCAUAUAAGAUAGAAUAGAAACGGAAGGAAGAGAAGAUGGUGUGAAUACACAGGGAGAGCACCGUCAACAAGUGAAGGAACUCCUGAGGCUCCUGAUGCUAAGAGAGAGAGACAUGGAAGACAUUCUCCCUCACAGCCCCCAGAAAGAAUCAACUUCUCUCAUACUUUAAUUUUGGACUCCAAACUCUCAGAACAAUACAGUUCUGUUGUUUAAGCCACCCAAUUUGUGCUUUCUUACAGCAGUCCCUGGAAAGUAAUACAGUGGAGGAGGACCCCCAUGAUUACAUUCUGCGAGAGGAGUUCCUAAGCAUUGCAGCAUGAAAAACAGUGCUUAAAAGCUUAAGCAAUAUUUUUCAAAAUAUUGACCUAUCUCAGUAGGAACUGAGAUAGGCAACAAAUCUGACUGACAGAAUACAUUUCAAACUUUCAAAAUUGUGUCUUCCUCUUACUGUGGGUCCUUACCCCUGAACAAAGUUCAUCACACCUGGCUUCACGUUGCAGGGUAUAUUUUUUUGAUGCCUGCCUUAUCUGGCUUCCAGUCAUGCCCUGGAAUUUGAGUGUCUCUCAAAUGUAAAAAUCAAAAAGUAUAUUGUAAAAAUGUCUAUACUAUGCAAAGUAAUAUACAGAUUCAAUGCAAUUUCUAUCAAGAUUCCAAUGACAUUUUUCACAGAAAUAGAAAAAAAUCU